UUUAAUUCAUGUUAUAAUGUUUUAUUUGACUUUAUAUCACCAUUUGACAUAGUAGGAAAAAUCUAAUUGAAAUCAUAACCCAGGAUCAAAGGUAUAUGCUUUUCCAGGAUAUUCUCCAAGGCCCCAUGCAACAAUCAGAUUUGCAUCAAAUCUUCCUAUACUGGCUUUCAAAUCAUAUCCUCUUAGAAAUGGUAGGUGUUCAAAAAUAUUCAGUGCAUUUCAGUAGGGGUAUAUCUUUCAUCAGAUUCAAUGGUCUAUAUGGCUGGAACCUACAUGCCUGGCAUUGUCCUAGUUAUCCCAGACUCCAGGGACAACCAUACCCAUUAUUCAUGGGCUCAGAGAUAUUACAUAAUAUAGUCAAGGUUGUACUUCUAGUCAAUGUCAGCUAUCACAUCUUAGCCCAGGUGGGGAUGACUCAAAGUUGUACUAUUUCCCAUGCAAUGCAAAGACGGGGUCAAGAGGAAGACAACUGGGCCAUAAGAACAAAGAGGAGGACAGAAAGGAGGUAACAUUCUGCUCCUGUGGCUUUAUACUUUUCUUAUCAUUUCCCUUGUACCCAAGUGCCCUCCUGCUUCCUUUUCCAGUUAUUCCUCUGGUGGUGGCAGUGCCAUUCAAUCUCACUGUCAGUGUCUCCCUCGCUUUCUCUAAAUCUUGGAAUGACCCUGGAAGAGGAAUUAUCAGUGCUCAUGCCUCCAAUGUGGUCAUCACACUGACUUUCUUAGGUAACGCUGAAGAGUCUCCGUGUGGCUCCUUUUUAGUUCUAGUUCAUGUUGUCAGAGGUGCUCAGACAAGAGUGACUCCAUCUUGAAUAGCUGCUGGGUAAAAUGAGUGACACCUACUGCCUGCAUUCCCAGAAGGUUAAGCAUUCUUAGUCACGGGAUACCGGUGGAAGAGAUCCAAAUUACCCCGAGUAACCAUCAGCUAAUCCAUACAGGUCCACAGCAACUUCAGUUCUUCCCUCCUCAGAAAAAAAAAUUCGUCCAAGAGGCAUAAAGCAGAAAAAAAGA
rnacentral:lncRNA from 10 species